rnacentral:rRNA from 1 species
CCUAACACAUGCAAGUCGAACGGUAACAGGAAACAGCUUGCUGUUUCGCUGACGAGUGGCGGACGGGUGAGUAAUGUCUGGGAAACUGCCUGAUGGAGGGGGAUAACUACUGGAAACGGUAGCUAAUACCGCAUAACGUCGCAAGACCAAAGAGGGGGACCUUCGGGCCUCUUGCCAUCAGAUGUGCCCAGAUGGGAUUAGCUAGUAGGUGGGGUAACGGCUCACCUAGGCGACGAUCCCUAGCUGGUCUGAGAGGAUGACCAGCCACACUGGAACUGAGACACGGUCCGGACUCCUACGGGAGGCAGCAGUGGGGAAUAUUGCACAAUGGGCGCAAGCCUGAUGCAGCCAUGCCGCGUGUAUGAAGAAGGCCUUCGGGUUGUAAAGACUUUCAGCGG